rnacentral:ncRNA from 1 species
CAAAAGCUUGGUCCUGACUUUACUAUCAACUUUAGCUGAACUUACACAUGCAAGUAUCCGCAUCCCCGUGAGAAUGCCCCACAGUUCCCCGCCCGGGAACAAGGAGCUGGUAUCAGGCGCAUUACACUAUUGCCCACGACACCUUGCUUAGCCACACCCCCAAGGGAACUCAGCAGUGAUAAACAUUAAGCCAUAAGUGAAAACUUGACUUAGUUAAAGCUAUACAGGGCCGGUAAAACUCGUGCCAGCCACCGCGGUUAGACGAGAGGCCCAAGUUGAUAGACACCGGCGUAAAGAGUGGUUAAGACAAAUUCUAAACUAAAGCCGAAUGCCCCCUAAGCUGUUAUACGCACACAGAGGUAAGAAGACCAAUCACGAAAGUGGCUUUAUUUCCCUGAACCCACGAAAGCCAAGACACAAACUGGGAUUAGAUACCCCACUAUGCCUGGCCGUAAACAUUGAUAGUAAAUUACACCCACUAUCCGCCCGGGUACUACGAGCAUUAGCUUAAAACCCAAAGGACUUGGCGGUGCUUUACACCCCCCUAGAGGAGCCUGUUCUAGAACCGAUACCCCCCGUUCAACCUCACCCUCCCUUGUUUUUUCAGCCUAUAUACCGCCGUCGUCAGCUUACCCUGUGAAGGGUUAAUAGUAAGCACAAUUGGCACUGCCCAAAACGUCAGGUCGAGGUGUAGCUAAUGGGAGGGGAAGAAAUGGGCUACAUUCCCUACCGGCAGGGAAUACGAAAGACAUACUGAAACGUAUGCCCGAAGGAGGAUUUAGCAGUAAGCAAAAAAUAGAGUGUUUUGCUGAAACUGGCCCUAAAGCGCGCACACACCGCCCGUCACUCUCCCCAAAAAUCAUUAACCCUGUUAACUAAAAAUAUACUGUGCAGAAGGGGAGGCAAGUCGUAACAUGGUAAGUGUACCGGAAGGUGCACUUGGACAUACUUU